rnacentral:rRNA from 1 species
GAUGAACGCUCGCUACAGGCUUAACACAUGCAAGUCGCGGGGCAGCAUGGGGGUUGCUUGCACUCCCCGAUGGCGACCGGCGCACGGGUGAGUAACGCGUAUCCAACCUGCCCUUCACCACGGGAUAACCCGGCGAAAGUCGGACUAAUACCGUAUGUUGUCCAUUGACGGCAUCCGAUUUGGACGAAAGGCUUGGCGGUGAGGGAUGGGGAUGCGUCCGAUUAGCCAGACGGCGGGGUAACGGCCCACCGUGGCUACGAUCGGUAGGGGUUCUGAGAGGAAGGUCCCCCACACUGGAACUGAGACACGGUCCAGACUCCUACGGGAGGCAGCAGUGAGGAAUAUUGGUCAAUGGGCGUAAGCCUGAACCAGCCAAGUAGCGUGCAGGAUGACGGCCCUAUGGGUUGUAAACUGCUUUUAUGCGGGGAUAAAGUGGCCCACGUGUGGGCUUUUGCAGGUACCGCAUGAAUAAGGACCGGCUAAUUCCGUG